UACGUAGGGUGCAAGCGUUGUCCGGAAUUAUUGGGCGUAAAGAGCUCGUAGGCGGUUUGUCGCGUCUGCUGUGAAAACGCGAGGCUCAACCUCCAGCCUGCAGUGGGUACGGGCAGACUAGAGUGCGGUAGGGGAGAUUGGAAUUCCUGGUGUAGCGGUGGAAUGCGCAGAUAUCAGGAGGAACACCGAUGGCGAAGGCAGAUCUCUGGGCCGUAACUGACGCUGAGGAGCGAAAGCAUGGGGGAGCGAACAGG
rnacentral:rRNA from 1 species